CGCUGGCGGCGUGCUUAACACAUGCAAGUCGAACGGUGAAGGAAGAGCUUGCUCUUCCGGAUCAGUGGCGAACGGGUGAGUAACACGUGGGCAACCUGCCCCUGACUCUGGGAUAACUCCUCGAAAGAGGUGCUAAUACCGGAUACGACCACUUCGGACAUCCGAUGGUGGUGGAAAGUUUUUCGGUCAGGGAUGGGCCCGCGGCCUAUCAGCUAGUUGGUGGGGUAAUGGCCUACCAAGGCGACGACGGUAGCCGGCCUGAGAGGGCGACCGGCCACACUGGGACUGAGACACGGCCCAGACUCCUACGGGAGGCAGCAGUGGGGAAUAUUGCGCAAUGGGCGAAAGCCUGACGCAGCGACGCCGCGUGAGGGAUGAAGGCCUUCGAGUUGUAAACCUCUUUCAGCAGGGACGAAGCGAAAGUGACGGUACCUGCAGAAGAAGCACCGGCUAACUACGUG
rnacentral:rRNA from 1 species